AUGGCAGCCGCCUCCCAAUGCCGCUCCGACCUCAAGGCUGCGGUCGAAAUCCUGUUGCAAAAGAAUCCGCGGGCCAAGAACUGGGCCAACGUGUUGACCAUUGAGCGCCAGUGCAAUUGCUGGACGCGGGACGCCUUCUACGUCAUGACCGGCGUGCGGGUGCAAGACGAUAGUGAACUGUUGCGGAGCGACGAGGUGGUUAAAAGUUUCUCUCUCUGGCGGAGUAACCAAGUUAUCGCCCGAAGGCGGAGCCAGUCUUCCCUUAGUCCAGGGCUGAACAGGUGGGGCUCGCCUUCGUCUUCGCCCCCUCUGCCCCCUCUUCCUCCUCCUCCGUCUGCACGCAGCAGCUGGGACCCCUCGCCUCUUACGAUUCCGUAUGCGCCUGCGCCUGCGCCAAACAGCUGGGGCCCGCCGCCGUUUGCCAUUCCGUCUGCGCCUGCGCCAAGCAGCUGGGGCCCCUCGCCUCUUACGACUCCGACUGCGCCUGCGCUAAGCAGCUGGGGCCCCUCGCCUCGUACGACUCCGUCUGCGCCUGCGGCAAGCAGCUGGGGCCCCUCGCCUCCUACGACUCCAUCUGCGCCUGCGCUAAGCAGCUGGGGCCCCUCGCCUCCUACGACUCCGUCUGCGCCUGCGCUAAGCAGCUGGGGCCCUUCGCCUCGUACGACUCCGUCUGCGCCUGCGCUAAGUAGCUGGGGCCCCUCGCCUCGUACGACUCCGUCUGCGCCUGCGGCAAGCAGCUGGGGCCCCUCGCCUCCUACGACUCCAUCUGCGCCUGCGGCAAGCAGCUGGGGCCCCUCGCCUCCUACGACUCCGUCUGCGCCUGCGCUAAGCAGCUGGGGCCCCUCGCCUCGUACGACUCCGUCUGCGCCUGCGCUAAGCAGCUGGGGCCCCUCGCCUCGUACGACUCCGUCUGCGCCUGCGCUAAGUAGCUGGGGCCCCUCGCCUCGUACGACUCCAUCUGCGCCUGCGCUAAGCAGCUGGGGCCCCUCGCCUCCUACGACUCCGUCUGCGCCUGCGCUAAGCAGCUGGGGCCCCUCGCCUCGUACGACUGCGCCUGCGCUAAGCAGCUGGGGCCUCUCGCCUCCUACGACUCCGUCUGCGCCUGCGCUAAGCAGCUGGGGCCCCUCGCCUCCUACGACUCCGUCUGCGCCUGCGCUAAGCAGCUGGGGCCCCUCGCCUCCUACGACUCCGUCUGCGCCUGCGCUAAGCAGCUGGGGCCCAUUCCUGCCUGCCAUUCCGUCAGUGCCUGUGUCGAGCAGCGGGGGCCCAUUGCUGUCUGCGAUUCCGUCAGCGCCUGUGCAGAGCAGCGGGGGCCCAUUGCUGCCUGCGAUUCCGUCUGCGCCAAUACUGACUAGUGGUGGUCCUCCUCAGUCUUCGGCUUCUUCAGAGCCAAGGGAUACGUGCUAG
rnacentral:lncRNA from 1 species